rnacentral:rRNA from 1 species
GAUCGGCCCGCGUUGGAUUAGCUAGUUGGUGGGGUAAAAGCCUACCAAGGCGACGAUCCAUAGCUGGUCUGAGAGGAUGAUCAGCCACAUUGGGACUGAGACACGGCCCAAACUCCUACGGGAGGCAGCAGUGGGGAAUAUUGGACAAUGGGCGCAAGCCUGAUCCAGCCAUGCCGUGUGAGUGAUGAAGGCCUUAGGGUUGUAAAGCUCUUUCAGCAGGGAAGAUAAUGACAGUACCUGCAGAAGAAGCCCCGGCUAACUUCGUGCCAGCAGCCGCGGUAAUACGAAGGGGGCUAGCGUUGUUCGGAAUUACUGGGCGUAAAGCGCACGUAGGCGGAUAUUUAAGUCAGGGGUGAAAUCCCGGGGUUCAACCUCGGAACUGCCUUUGAUACUGGGUAUCUUGAGUGUGGAAGAGGUCGGUGGAAUUGCGAGUGUAGAGGUGAAAUUCGUAGAUAUUCGCAGGAACACCAGUGGCGAAGGCGGCCGACUGGUCCAUUACUGACGCUGAGGUGCGAAAGCGUGGGGAGCAAACAGGAUUAGAUACCCCGGUAGUCCACGCCGUAAACGAUGAAUGCUAGCCGU